GAUGAACGCUGACAGAAUGCUUAACACAUGCAAGUCGAUGGGGAAGUGGUGCUUGCACCAUGGUAACCAUGGCGGACGGGUGAGUAACGCGUAAGGAACUUGCCUGCGGGACUGGGAUAACAGCAGGAAACUGCUGAUAAUACCGGAUAAGGUCAUUAAGCUGCAUAGCUUAGUGAUGAAAGGAGACGCCUGCGGAGAGCCUUGCGUCCUAUUAGCUAGUUGGAGGGGUAACGGCCCACCAAGGCGAAGACAGGUAGCCGGCCUGAGAGGGUGGACGGCCACAAGGGGACUGAGAUACGGCCCUUACUCCUACGGGAGGCAGCAGUGGGGAAUAUUGGACAAUGGGGGCAACCCUGAUCCAGCAAUUCUGUGUGCACGAAGACGGUUUUCGGAUUGUAAAGUGCUUUCAGCAGGGAAGAAGGAAGUGACGGUACCUGCAGAAGAAGCGACGGCUAAAUACGUG
rnacentral:rRNA from 1 species